AAAUUUAGGUUACUACCAAACCAAGGGCCUUCAAAGCCCUAAACAGGGCCCCGAACCCUAAUUUCUG
rnacentral:tRNA from 1 species